CCAGACUCCUACGGGAGGCAGCAGUAGGGAAUCUUCGGCAAUGGGGGGAACCCUGACCGAGCAACGCCGCGUGAGUGAAGAAGGUUUUCGGAUCGUAAAGCUCUGUUGUUAAGGAAGAACGAGUGUGAGAAUGGAAAGUUCAUACUGUGACGGUACUUAACCAGAAAGGGACGGCUAACUACGUGCCAGCAGCCGCGGUAAUACGUAGGUCCCGAGCGUUGUCCGGAUUUAUUGGGCGUAAAGCGAGCGCAGGCGGUUAGAUAAGUCUGAAGUUAAAGGCAGUGGCUCAACCAUUGUAGGCUUUGGAAACUGUUUAACUUGAGUGCAGAAGGGGAGAGUGGAAUUCCAUGUGUAGCGGUGAAAUGCGUAGAUAUAUGGAGGAACACCGGUGGCGAAAGCGGCUCUCUGGUCUGUAACUGACGCUGAGGCUCGAAAGCGUGGGGAGCGAACAGGAUUAGAUACCCUGGUAGUCCACGCCGUAAACGAUGAGUGCUAGGUGUUAGGUCCUUUCCGGGACUUAGUGCCGCAGCUAACGCAUUAAGCACUCCGCCUGGGGAGUACGACCGCAAGGUUGAAACUCAAAGGAAUUGACGGGGGCCCCGCACAAG
rnacentral:rRNA from 1 species